rnacentral:rRNA from 1 species
AUUGAACGCUGGCGGCAGGCCUAACACAUGCAAGUCGAGCGGGUGAAGGGAGCUUGCUCCUGGAUUCAGCGGCGGACGGGUGAGUAAUGCCUAGGAAUCUGCCUGGUAGUGGGGGAUAACGUCCGGAAACGGGCGCUAAUACCGCAUACGUCCUGAGGGAGAAAGUGGGGGAUCUUCGGACCUCACGCUAUCAGAUGAGCCUAGGUCGGAUUAGCUAGUUGGUGGGGUAAAGGCCUACCAAGGCGACGAUCCGUAACUGGUAUGAGGGGAUGAUCAGUUAGCUUGUAUGUGAGACAGGGCCGAGACUCUGGGGGUGAGCAGCGGUGGGGAAUAUUAGACAAGGGAGCAGUGCCGGAUCCUGCCAAGCGGGGGGAGUGAUGAACGACCUCGGACUGGUGAGCGCUGAAGGUUGGAGGGUAGGACAGCACGUUAAGACGGGGCGAUAUUGACGGUACCAACAGAAGAAGCACCGGCUAACUUCGUG